CUACGGGGUGCUGCAGUGGGGAAUAUUGCACAGUGGAGGAAACUCUGAUGCAGCAACGCCGCGUGGAGGAUGACACUUUUCGGAGCGUAAACUCCUUUUAUAUAGGAAGAAGAUGACGGUACUAUAUGAAUAAGCGCCGGCUAACUCCGUGCCAGCAGCCGCGGUAAUACGGAGGGCGCAAGCGUUACUCGGAAUCACUGGGCGUAAAGAGCGUGUAGGCGGAUUAAAAAGUCAGAAGUGUAAUCCUAUAGCUUAACUAUAGAACUGCUUCUGAAACUCUUAAUCUAGAAUAUGGGAGAGGUAGAUGGAAUUUCUGGUGUAGGGGUAAAAUCCGUAGAGAUCAGAAGGAAUACCGAUUGCGAAGGCGAUCUACUAGAACAUUAUUGACGCUGAGACGCGAAAGCGUGGGGAGCAAACAGGAUUAGAUACCCCUGUAGUC
rnacentral:rRNA from 1 species